rnacentral:rRNA from 1 species
UUUCCAGACUCCUACGGGAGGCAGCAGUGGGGGAUAUUGCACAAUGGGGGAAACCCUGAUGCAGCGACGCCGCGUGGGUGAAGAAGCGCCUCGGCGCGUAAAGCCCUGUCAGCAGGGAAGAAAAUGACGGUACCUGAAGAAGAAGCCCCGGCUAACUGCGUGCCAGCAGCCGCGGUAAUACGUAGGGGGCAAGCGUUAUCCGGAUUUACUGGGUGUAAAGGGGGCGCAGACGGCGAUGCAAGCCAGGAGUGAAAGCCCGGGGCCCAACCCCGGGACUGCUCUUGGAGCUGCGUGGCUGGAGUGCAGGAGGGGCAGGCGGAAUUCCUGGUGUAGCGGUGAAAUGCGUAGAUAUCAGGGGGAACACCGGUGGCGAAAGCGGCUCUCUGGCCUGUAACUGACACUGAGGCUCGAAAGCGUGGGGAGCAAACAGGAUUAGAUACCCGUGUAA